CUUGUUCGAUUUUAUGCAUUUUUAUUUAAAAAGAUUAAAAAAAAUAUAAAAAAGUUUUAUGGUAUAUAUUUUUGCUCCAUUUUAUUUCAAAUAAUUAUAAUAGCUCAGCUGAUGAGAGUUUAAGUAUGAAGAGUGGCAAACAUAGGGUCCUAGGUUUGAAUUAUGUUGGGACAUUUUAUUAAUUUUUAUUUCUUCUCAUUUUUCUUAUUUUAGUUCAUUUUCUAUUCUUCUUCUUUUUAUUUAUUUACUAUUAUAACUAUUAUUAUUAUAUUUUGAUAUUAUUAGUAACAUUAGGUACUGUUAUUAUUAUUAAAAGAAAA
rnacentral:lncRNA from 1 species